UACGGAGGGGGCUAGCGUUGUUCGGAAUUACUGGGCGUAAAGCGCACGUAGGCGGCUUUGUAAGUUAGAGGUGAAAGCCCAGGGCUUAACCCUGGAAUUGCCUUUAAGACUGCAUCGCUAGAAUCGUGGAGAGGUGAGUGGAAUUCCGAGUGUAGAGGUGAAAUUCGUAGAUAUUCGGAAGAACACCAGUGGCGAAGGCGGCUU
rnacentral:rRNA from 1 species